rnacentral:rRNA from 1 species
UACGGAGGGGGCUAGCGUUGUUCGGAAUUACUGGGCGUAAAGCGCACGUAGGCGGUCUUUUAAGUCGGGGGUGAAAUCCUGGAGCUCAACUCCAGAACUGCCUUCGAUACUGGAAGACUUGAGUCCGGGAGAGGUGAGUGGAACUGCGAGUGUAGAGGUGAAAUUCGUAGAUAUUCGCAAGAACACCAGUGGCGAAGGCGGCUCACUGGCCCGGUACUGACGCUCAGGCGCGAAAGCGUGGGGAGCAAACAGG